rnacentral:rRNA from 1 species
GACAGAGGAUGCAAGCGUUAUCCGGAAUGAUUGGGCGUAAAGCGUCUGUAGGUGGCUUUCAAGUCCGCCGUCAAAUCCCAGGCUCAACCCUGGACAGGCGGUGGAAACUACCAAGCUGGAGUACGGUAGGGCAGAGGGAAUUUCCGGUGGAGCGGUGAAAUGCAUUGAGAUCGGAAAGAACACCAACGGCGAAAGCACUCUGCUGGGCCGACACUGACACUGAGAGAUGAA